rnacentral:rRNA from 1 species
UACGAAGGGGGCUAGCGUUGCUCGGAAUCACUGGGCGUAAAGAGCUCGUAGGCGGCUUGUCGCGUCGUCCGUGAAAACCCGGGGCUCAACCCCGGGCUUGCGGUCGAUACGGGCAGGCUAGAGUGUGGAAGAGGCUACUGGAAUUCCGUGUGUAGCGGUGAAAUGCGUAGAUAUCGAGAGGAACACCUGCGGCGAAGGCGGGAUUGCUGGGCUGACACGUGACGCUGAUGCGCGAAACCAGG